GCUCGAGUGGCGAACGGGUGAGUAACACGUGAGUAACCUGCCCUUGACUUUGGGAUAACUUCAGGAAACUGGGGCUAAUACCGGAUAGGAGCUCCUGCUGCAUGGUGGGGGUUGGAAAGUUUCGGCGGUUGGGGAUGGACUCGCGGCUUAUCAGCUUGUUGGUGGGGUAGUGGCUUACCAAGGCUUUGACGGGUAGCCGGCCUGAGAGGGUGACCGGCCAUAUUGGGACUGAGAUACGGCCCAG
rnacentral:rRNA from 1 species